rnacentral:lncRNA from 1 species
UUGUUUUUUCUUUUUCUGAAAAUUGUUAUUGAUAAUGUAAAAUAAAAACAGAUGGGUCUCCCAAGAUAGCCAAGGAGAUAAUUGAAGCAAUAGAUGAUGUGAACUUAUCAACCACCUUCAAAGUGGUAGAAGGAGAUCUUCUGAAUGAUUACAAGAACUUCAAACUCAUCGUUCAAGCUACACCAAAGGAGAACGGAAGCUUGGUGCACUGGACCUUGGAAUAUGAAAAGAUUCAUGAGAAUACUCAAGAUCCCCAUUCAUUGCUGGAGUUUGUUGUUCAUUGCAGCAAGGAUAUUUCUGCUCACCUUAUCCAAGUCCAGGGGAACUGAUGGAUCUUCAGCUAUAUAUGCUCUGAUAAUACCUGUGAUGUUUAUAAUAAAUAAAGGGAUGUUUAGCACAAGGUGAGCUUGUUUAUCUUUACGUGUGAAUCUGUACCUGCUUCAUAUAUACUAAAUCUUAAAGCUAAGUGGGUCUGUUAAUGAUAAUAUCUAGCUUCGAUCAAUAUAAGAUAAUGUAUUACUGAUGAAUUUAUGAAAUAAUCGGAUGUGAUUACUAUUUAUAAAUCACCAUCUUUUGCUUCCUGUUAUUAUAUGUAUUAGAAAUUUAAACUUAUUUCUCCAAGAAUGCAACUACAGUAGCAUAGACAAAAUAUUCCCUUCAUCAUAAUCUUUCAAGACUCAUCUUCCUGUGAGGAGGUGGUGUUUUUUGACUCGAUUAGUGAAUCAAAUCUAUUUAAAAAAUUUUCCUUAGCGACGAUGCAAAUACAAUCAUUUUCCCUGUUAUGUGGCUAAGAAGAAAGGAAAUUUGGAGGCAACUGCUGCAGUUUUAGUCAGGAAUUAUCUAGGCAAUACUGAGGAUGGAAUUUCCAGAAAAUUGUUUUGUAUAUAUUUCUCCUUUAACAUAUGAAGCAAAUGCUACGUGACUUGCUAUUCAACCAACUAAAGCAUGGCAGUUUCACAUUCAAAAUUGAUUCUGCUGUUGUAUAUAAUAUUGUUUACAAUAUAUUAUUUAUAAUAUAAUUGUGAAAAAUUAGAGUUUAAAUAACGAAUACUCUUUUUUUUUAAUCAAAAAUAACGAAUACUUUUAAUAUUUGCUGUUUCAUUUUGGUUUAUUCCUCAUUAAAUAUAAAUACUGUUACAAAUAUAAUUGUUAAGAUUUAUUUGAGGAAUUUAUUACCGCAAGAUUCAUAACAAUAUCAGUUGGCAAAUUUACUUUUUUUUUUUUUAUUAUUAUUAUUGUAAUGAAAUUUUGCUAUGAGUGCACCCAUAUAAUAUAAAGAAAAAAAUUAUUAUUUAGUUCAGUGAGUUUUCUCAAACCACAUAGAUUAAGUAGUAAUUUUUUUUAAUAUAAAUUUUAAUUUACAGAUAAAAAAUAUAUAUAUAUACUUAAUAAUCUUGAUAUGAUCAUGUCAGUUUUUAGUUGCAUACUCUUAAAUUUUAUAGCUCGAUUCUUAGUGGGUAAUAUUCUGUUGAUAAAUAUAUUUACGAUGUAAAAGAAAGAAGUAAACUAUCAAAUUACAAAAAAUUUCUGUAUCUUUUCUUUCUGAAAAUUCAUACAUGCAUCUGCAUUAAUAUGGACAUUCAAUUAGUUAAAAAUUAGAAUAUUAUAUUAAUACUUGGAUUUUAUUAUAUUUUUAAUAAUAUUUUUUUAAUUUAAAAUAUUGCCCUUGAGGAAUAGAACGUUCUUCUAAUUUAUAACAAGGUGAUCCCGAAAUAAUUUGGGAGACAAAAUAGCAAGGAAGCCCAAAAAAAAAGGGCCUUUUGUUUGUUCUUCUUUAAAUCCAGCAGAUGUAGCUUGAACAAGUAGGAAAAUAAAGUUUAAGAUUUUACCUUGGAUAUGAUGUCAAUUUUUCUUUAAAUCGGGCUAAAUUUAAAAAAAAUAUUAAAAAUCAAGAGUUUAGAAAAAAAUAUUUUCGAGUCAAAAAUGAAUUAAAAUUUUUUUCAAAUGUCAUACUAUGAAUGAAGCAUAUUUAAUAAUAUGAGUGUCAAAUAUGCCAAACUUAUUUGAUAUUCAUAAUAUCAAAGAAUUCAUCAACAGCAGAGGAUGAGUCUAUCAGAAGCACAACAUGGUGUAACGGCUUAUGCAAUACUCAUAGUAUUUAACAAGUUGCACAGUUAUGUGAAUGAUUCAUUGUGUCAAUUAGAUGGAUUAUAAAGAUGCAAUAGAGGUGGAAUGGCUCUUUCCAAUCAUUCCUUUAUAUAUUUUUACCAAUUUUAUCACAUGUUUAUAUUUGAAAUAUGAAUAAUACACUAAAAAUCUAAAUAAUCGAUGAAUUUGUCGCCUUACAUAAGUGUUUGUGUAACUAUACAUGACAUAAUUCACUUUAAUUAUAAUUUUUUAUUUUAUUUAAAUCAUUUAAUAGUGAUAAAAAUAUAAAUUUAUAUGAAAAACAGAUGUAUUGCUAAACCAUAAUAAAUAUUUUACCAAUAAACUAAAUCAUAAUUAUUAAAGUUUUUAUUAUUAAACUAAAUCAUAACUAUUAAUUUUUUUAUAUUUAAAUUACAAUAAAUAUUUGAUUACUCCACCAAAUUACAAUUAUUGAAUUUUUUUACUUAAAUCGCAAUAAAUAUUUAUUAUUACGCUAAAUCACUUAUAUAAAGAAAAAUUAUACGAAAGUGAUUUAAAAAAAAUAUUUUAGAUUAAAAAUAUUAAAAAUGAAAAUAAAAAUAAAACCACCUAACUACUUCAUAUUUAUACACAUGUAAAAAUAAAAUAAAUACAAAUAAACAUACAUUUAAAAUAAAAAUAAACAACAUAAAUAUAUUUCUACAUAUCUAAAAAAUAAAAAUGAAAAUAUUUUUAUUUUAAAAUGUACAUCUUAAAAUUAAAAUAGAAAUAAAAUAUAUAUGGACGUAGCUGAGAAUGACAAAAGAAUGAAAGAAGCAAAGAAAUUUAUAAGAUGAGAAAAUUCAAAGAAGAAAAAGAAGAUAAAUGUGAGUAGCAAAAUGUUAAUUUUUUAGCUUUUAAAGCGAAAGAUGUAUAGGUAUAGACGAUGCUUGCAUGCGACGUCGUAGGCAUAGCUCUUUUCGACACAAGCUGUCGAACUCAGCCUAGCUAUAAUUGACCCAUCAAUUUUGGUAUAGUUAGCAUCAAGUUAAUGCAAAAUAAAACAAAAUAAUUAAUUUAGAAGAUAUUCAAAUAGUGUAAAAUAAAUUUUAAUAGAUUUAAAUUAAAUUUAUAUAUUAAUAAUAUUAAUUAAGUUUGGAUUGAAAGAUAAUAAUUAUUAUUUUUUUUUUAAUAUUUUGAUCAUUUAUGUCCGCGCGACGCGUUUACAUCAUGUGUUUAGUAAUUAAUUAAUGGUUUAGGUGGGAUUUUAUAAUUAUUAAUUAAUUUCGGCAAGCGAAGAGAUUAAGGGAAAGGCAUCAAUUAUUGUUUUCUUGCAUUUAUUAUAUUAUAAUAUAUCAGAUUUGGCAAAUCUCACUGCUCCUUGACAGCCUUGCAUCACAUCCCUCUACAUUUUUUUACAUUUAUAUUGUUUAUUUUGCCUAACUAAAUUAAUUUAUAAGUGAAUCUUAUUUUUUUACUUUAGAGAUAAUUAAUUAUAAUUAAUUGAGUAACGUUUAAUCUAUUCUUAGCAAUAAUGUUUUUAAAAAAGUUAACUUAUGGCAUUAAUUUCUUUUUUUUUUUAAAUAUGAUAAUUCAUUGUAUAUGAUUAAGGCAUCAGUCUUCAAUUUUGGGCUCUGUUGAGAUCCCUUCAUUCUAGCAAGAAUUAAACUGAGGAUUUGUUUCUCAAACCUUCAACUCCUUAGUUAUUAAAUUUAGUAAGAAUUUGUCAGUUUUCUUAUUUUUCACGCAAUUGUGGAGGAUGUCUAAAAUAAUGGGAAAGUCUUAUGUGAUAAAUUAAAAAGGAUCAUGAUGAUUGAUGCCACAUUGGCUCAAGUUGAGCAAUAUUCAAAUGAUUCAAUCAUCACAUUUAUUUUUAUUGAUUUUGGAGUCAAAUUAACUCUCCAAAUUAUAGUCUUUUUCCUCCAUUAAUUUUCUUUCAACUAGAUAUUUUCUUUUUUAACAAAGAACAUAAAUUAUGUUUUCAUUUUUGAAAUAAAUAAUAAUUAAAAAAUAUAUUUAUUUUAAUAUUUAUCCUUUCUACUUAUUUAUAUUCUUCACAAACUUUUUUUUUCAAUAUUUUCUGACACUCCUCUCCUAUUUUCCUUACACGUUUUCACAUGUUUCUCCUAUUUUCCUUGCAUGUUCUUACUCGUCUCUCCAACUUCCCUGGCACGUUUUACUCAUUUCUUGAAAAAUGGAAUGAUCACUCAGCCAUAGCAUCAAAAAUAGAUUUUCUUAUCAAUCUUGCCACAACAACAACAACCUGGUUAGACAUGUCCUUCAGGGUAUUUUUGGACGUAGUCAAAGUCAGAGUGUAAAUGAAGUUGAUAAUGAAGAUGAGUUAAGUUAUGAUCCAUAUGAAGAUAGAGAUAGAGCAUAUAUAUUAUAGAAGAUUCUAAUGAAAUUGAAUACGAAGAGUUAUCUAAGGUAGGUGAAGUUAUUAAUAGCAAUAACAACUGUGAUGAAAUUGAGCUAGCAGAUGAAAUUGAGCUAGUAGAAAUUAAUGAUGCUCCAAGUGUUGGUAUGUAUUAUACUAGUAUUGAUAUUUUAUUUAAUGCCUAUCUCGCUUAUGCUAAGGAGAAAGGAUUUAUUGUGGCUAAAAAUUCUGCUUCCAAUGAUAAUUAGUGAAAAGAAUUCAAAAGAAUGAUGAAAAUGAAUAUAAAGAUGAGAUGAAAUGUCUUUUUAUAUAAAUGUCGGAUGUUCUUACAAAAGUGAAGAUAAAGUUUAAAUCAUCUUUUAAGAACAUAUGGAAAUAUUGAUAUUCUUAAAUUUAAAAAGGUAUUUUCGAUAAAUAUAGGAAAAAACAUAUAGAAAAAAAUAAUUUUAUAGUAGGAAUUGGCGUGUAAAAAAAAUGAAAAUUAAAAAGAUUUCAAGAUAAUAGGAAGCAGAGGUGGGUAUUCUUGCGUCUAAAAAAAAAUUUAAUAAAAAAGAACCAAUCGUAUAGAAAUAUGAAAUGAAGAGAACACUUGACAAUAAACUUAUAAUAAAUUGAAAGAUAUAAAUAGUUGAUAUAUUUACAGAAAAUAAAAAAUAAAAUUUUAUUUUGAAAAUUGAAAUAUUUAAUGAAUGAGAGAGAAUUUGAAAUUCGAUUUCAAAUUUCAAAUUUCAAAUUCUAAACAUUGUUUUAGAAAAAAUAAAAAUACAUUAUGAAAUUACUUGAAUAAUAAGCUAUCAAACUUUUUCCAAAUUAAAAAUAAAAAAAUUCCGAAAAUGAUAGGAAAGAAACAAGAUAAGCUAAAAUCACAAAUAAAACGUAUACUUCUAUAUAAGGACAAAGGACUGAGCUUUAGUCAGCACUAAGUCCUUGAAAUUUGAUCUUAUUACUUUCUUUUUCAGGAAAACAAAAUGACCCUUUCCGGGAAAUUGGAAGCUGAUAUAGAGGUGAAUGUUCCUGCAGACUAUUUUCAUGAUGUCUAUAGUUGCAGACCACACCAUGUAUCUACUACCAGCACUGAAAUGAUUCAAGGUGUUGAUCUCCAUGACGGUGAAUGGGGAAAAGUGGGCACUGUUAUCUGCUGGAAUUAUACUCUUGGUAAGCCUGUAUUAUUUUUCUUUCUUUCUCAUUGAAAUUUCUUUUGGGUUUUCUUUUGCUUGUUUACUGAUAUUGCAACCAAAAAAACAGAUGGAUCUCCCAAGAUAGCCAAGGAGAUAAUUGAAAUUAUAGAUGAUGUGAACUUAUCAACCACCUGUAAAGUGAUAGGAGGAGAUCUUCUCAACGAUUACAACAGCUUUAAAUUCAUUGUUCAAGCUACACCAAAGGGGAACGGAAGCUUGGUGCACUGGACUUUGGAAUAUGAGAAGAUCCAUGAUAAUACUCCAGAUCCCAAUACAUUGAUGGACCUUCUUGUUAAUUGCAGCAAGGAUAUUGCUUCUCACUAUGCGCAAUCCCAUGAGAACUGAUGGAUCUUCAGCUAUAUAUGCUCUGGUCUAUGUGAUGUUUAUAAUAAAUAAGGCUUAUGUAAUGAAGCACCAGUUCAGUUUGUUCAUCUUUAAAGCUACGUGGGUUUGUUAAUGAUAAUAUGUAUGUAGCUUCGAUCAGUAUCAGAUAAUGUAUUACCGAUGAAUUUAUGAAAUAAUGGGAUGUGAUGAUUACUAUUUAUGUAUCACCAUCUUCGAUUCUUGUCAUCAUAUGUAUCAGUAACGUAAAGUUAUAUCUCCAAGCACUUGUUGUUUAGGACAGGCAAAGCAACCACAAUUGUUAUGAGAAUGAUAUAAUCUAGGAAGCUUAUGUGCAGGCGAGUCUCCUCAUCCAUGCUGCAACCUCACCCAGCCCAGCCAUCUCGGCAUGGCGACCCAUCACCCACCCGGGACCAUUCUCCAUUCCCACCCAAUCGCCGAGCCCAUAGCCGUGAGAUAAUGGAAGGUUUCUUGAGCAACGAUGCUCUUUGGUUAAAGAAUUGGUUUCUGAAGUUAAGCCACAUGACUCUAUCUUUGCGCAGAACAAAAGGCUGGCUUGGUGAUCAGAUUGCAUAUUCCUCUUCAUAUAAAAGAUGGAUGAGUUUAUUACGUUAGAUCUAGUAACUUCUAAUAAAAUGAGUAUGGAUGUUGCUAGUCUUAAGUUUCAAUGGAUCAUCUGGAGAAUUUUAACAAAAUUUUUGCUGUGGAGGUUGGUUCUUUUCGUUUCCACAUCUCAGUUACAGAAGAAACUGGUGCCCUUUUUUUGUGCGUUAACAACAAUUAUUCUAUGGAUAGCAAACGUCUUCUUGUUCUUCGGUGGAGGACUCUCAAGAUUGUUGUAGUAGUACUUUUGGUGAUGAUGUUCAGAAAACUUGUGCUGCCGCUACUUCGAAAUAAGAAGAAAAUCUGAAUAAUUUUUCUGUCAGUAACUCUGCAGCUCAUGGUGACGCCUCAGUUGCCAUUUCUCCUCGUGAAAUGGUUAGCUCUCCAGUUGUUUCUGUGGGAAGAUCUUUGGAAUGUGGUUCUCCCAUCAAGAUCUAAUGAAGGUGACGAGGCUCAGGAAGAUGAAGAUUGUGAGCCCAUUAGUGAUAAUGAUGAAUCCAGCCCAAGUACUUACAGUAAUCUGCCUUUGGCUUCCUAUAGCUAAUAGACUUCACAAAUAAAGAAGCAAGGGCCGAUCCUUUGUUGAAUUGAGUGAUCUAUAUCCUAAAAUUGGAAAGGGGGAAAGAAAAAAAGCAUGUAAUAUGAUUUUGGGGGGUGUCUUCUCAGUGGAUUGUGUUCAUCUAUGACGGGAUGUGUCUUCGAGUGGUUGGUUCUAUUGAUUAUCUUCUACGAAACGAUGCGUCUCUGAGCUUGUCGGUGGAUUUUUUUUUUUUUAAAAUUUUUCAAGUGGAGAGUUAUGAUAAGUUGGAUUUCACAGCUGUUGCUCUUAUUCUUCUUCUCACUCUUUGUCUUUGCCAUAGUACAAAGGAAAGCUCAGAUGGAACCUUAAUAGGACAGUUUUCUUCCAUGUGAUUUUCUUUGGAUUUAUCAUAAUUUCUGGCAUCUGUGAUGGGAAUGCAAAGAACUUGGUUAAGCCAGGAGGGCUUGCUUCUUUUGGUGUCAAAGGUGUUAUUAAUUGGGAUGUGAUCCCUCAGUCUAUUAAUGAACUAUCAUUCCAGAAAUUGUGAAAAAUGUUCCCUUAAAAAUAUUAUUAAUUGUCAUUGCUUCCGCUCAUAUUUUCUGGAGAUAGGAUAUUAUGCACUAUCUCCAUAAAAGAAGUUGAUUGUGAAUUAUUAAUAAGUCUGCCUUAUGUCUGAGCGGUUAAUGAGAACAGACUGAAAGGUAAUUAUUAUUUUUUUUUUUUUUUGCUUUAAAUGGCUUUCCCCUACCCUACUCUUCAGAACCUAUCUGAUCAUUUCUUGAAAACCAUAAACAAAGAUUUUGAAAGGAUAUUGAACAAGCAAAUGGUGAGGCAAUGAGCACAGAGGAAGCAAUUACUACCCUUAAAAUCAUACGAAUCACCCACCAAUUAUCAACAAGUUUGAAACACGGGUGAGCUGAAAUAUGCAAACAAGUGAGCAAAUAAUUCUUUCAUUUAUCACUCAAAAUUCUUCCUGCUUGAUCUGUUUGAAACAUUAGCAAGGCUUUUUCAGAUCUCAAUUUUUGACGUUUUUAUCUGGUUUUUAAUGAAUUUGAAUUGGUCUUUUUUGGGUAUUUUGGUGCUACUGUAUUCUUUUUUACUUCAUUGUACUAGGUUCUCACGGCCUCUUCGCUCGGCAUACUGAUGAAUAGGUACGCGUAUAUGGAGAUUCUUGGAUAUAAUUCUAUCAUAUCCGUGCUAAGUUCUUUUUUUUUUUCUGAAUUAUUAUUAUAAAAUUCUCUUUAUAAAAAAUAAAAAAAUAUAUAUUAUCUCUCCAAGCUAAAGUAACAUAAAAAAAUGUUUGCCAAAACUCAUCUUCCCAUGAGAAAAUUUUUUUUUUUUUUUUUCAAUUGAAAUCAACUAAAAUUUGAAUCCAAAACCUUUUAACAUUUAAUUCAAUAAUUUUUGAAUUGUUUUAGAAAAUUGACGAUGACAUCUCCAUAUAAAUAUAUGUUCCACUAGUACGAGAACCCUACUUCAAUUACAAGAUCAAUUCUUAUUUACACCAGUACAUAAUAAAUUCAAGAUAUAAAUAAAUAAAUAAAUAUCAUUUAAUUUUUGUAUUAAUUCCAUUAUAUUAUUAUACUAUAAAGUUUAAUUUUCUCCCUAUUAGCAUAUUACUUCCCUAUCCACGUACAAUUUGGGAUAUGCAUCCAAUUCGUAGGGAGCGACCUCGAGGGAGUCAAUAUUUUCUUUCUCAAUGCAUAAUUUUUCUUGAGACCAAUAUAGCAAUAAAAUAGAAAUAUAUACUAAAUAAAUAUAAUAUAAAAUAUCAUAAAUCGAUUAAAAAUAUAACAAAGUUCUAUUAUAAGCAUUACAAAUUAUGGUAAAAGACAGAACAGCAAGAAUAAAAAACUUUUAUUUAUUUAUUUAUUUAUCUUCAAACAAAGCAGAUGUAACAUGAAUAAGUAGGAAAUUAAGUUUUAAGAUUUUUAAGUUGGAUAUAAUGCCAGCUCAUGAGUGCUUUUUACCUAUCGUGAAAGUCUCUCCUUUAAUGUAUUGCGGGCUUCCUGAAUCUGUUUAAAAAAAUAAAAAGGAAAAUAAAUACUUCUUUAGUAAAGAAAGCAGAUUUUUUAUUUUAUCCCUCUUUCAUAAAAUAAGGGCUCUAUCCCUCUUUUUCUAAAAAAAAAAAAGAAAGCAGAUUUUUUAUUUUAUCAAAUUAGAACAAAUUGAGCUCAAUUUUUUACAUAAAAAAUAUUUUUCAUAUUUUCUGAUAUUUAACGCUCAACGAAAAAUAUUUUUUUAAUUAAAAAAAAUUUUAAGUCAUUUUAAGGAAAACGACUCUUUUUUAAAAAAAAAAAAAAUCAUUUUCUAUAUUUUGAAGAUGUUAUUAAAAUUCCUCAAUAAUGUAUUUUAUUUUUAAAUUAAAAUUAAAAAAUAAAAUAAUAAAUUAUUUUAUUAAAAAAUAUUGUUCAAAUAUAAAUUAUUUUUUACAAAUAACGGAGAUUAAGUCACAUGUUAAGCAAGAUCAUGAAGAUUGAACCUGUACAUGCAUCACAAAAUAUGAUCAAUGUUUUCUGCUGGUACCUUCAUUUUCCAAUCCCUUGCAACCUGGAAUAUGAACCCACUUAAGACGAAGUUCCACUUCACCACUCUCUACAUUCCUCAAUCUAAUAAGCAUGUCUUGGGUGAUUUCACCAUUGUUCCAAACAAUGCUGCUCUCGUCAGCAAGGCAGUUGCUCAUGGUUGGCGGAACUCGCUUGAGUGCACAGCCAUUUGGGAGCUUUUGGAACCCCAUCUUGAGACUCGCUAUAUACGGUCUGAUGUCAAUUUCUGCGUCGCCCAUCUUGUCAUCCCCCGUGAAUGUGUCCUUAUCAUAAACUUCCUGCAAAAAAAUUAAAAAUUUAUUGGAUUUAGCCAAUUUGAGAAAUCCACAAGUUAUACAGUGUAGUUUAACAGAGAAUUAAUGGUGAAGAUAUAACUAAUGAAACGAUACAGAUGGCGUGUUAAAGAGAGUAUUUCUUUGAGGCUGCACGAAUAUCACCUAAGAACAGAGCUAAGGUAGCAGCCUUGCAUUUAGUAAGGCAGAGUAUCCACUUGCAUCAAGGAUAUAUAUGCGACGACCAAAGGAGCAAAUGCAUAUGUUGAUUGGAUGAGUAUGCAAGAUCUUUAGGAGCCUCAUUCGGAAGACAUGCUUAUGACGGUCCUUUAGUAGGUUUCUGGUAUUUAAAAUUGAAUAGAUUCGUUGCAAGACUACCUUAAUGCAUUUAAUGAACUAUACCUCAAGUUAGGUAUCAAUGAAGAACAAUCCUUGAGUUUCUUUUUGUUUGGCCUUAGUGAUGAACUGCAAAUGCCUGAAUGUUCAAAUCUAAGAGCUUAGCUGAAGCCUAUUCACUAGCUAAAUUGUAGGAAUUAACAGUGACUACAAUUCAGCAAAACCUGAAUUAAACAUAUUCUCCUUCACAAUUCCAUCCAAUAAUAACUACCAAAAACCACUUAGCAUCACCAUCACAACUCUUGUACUAAAUAAACAACCCUCCAUGCUAAAGACUCAACCCAAAGUUCACACAAACACCAUAAAAUGUCCCUAGUAACACCUAUAAGAACCCAAGCCUUUACUUACCAGCAAAAAAACGAAUGAGAAAAGGGCUCACAACUUGUGCUUCUAGUGUGAUGAGAAGUAUGUUCCGGGGCACACGCUUAAAAACGGACAAUUAUGUAUACUACAAAUCAAGGAAUUAAUUGAAGAGAAGUUAGAACCUACAGUAAAGGUAAUAGAAGAUUUGGAAGAGAGUAUGUCGGAAUGGCAAUUGCUCAAUGCAAUGUGGAGCUUAGGUUCUAAUCAAACCAUGGUUAUAAAGGAUAACUGUGGAAAAAGUAGAUUAUAUGUAUUAAUAGAAAUUGGCAGUACCCAUAAUUCCAUUAAUGAGGAAACAGAAAGGAAGCUUAAUUGUCCAAUGCAAGAAGCAGCUGGCAUAUGAAUAGAGGUAGCAAAUGGUCAAGAGCUGAAAUACCAGUCAAUGUGUAAAAACUUUGUAUAGACUAUGCAAAAACAAGAAUUUUAAGGCAGAAGUGCAUCUAUUACUAUCUUUUGAGAAGCUAUGAUCUUAUUCUGAAUAUCCAAUGGCUCAGAACAUUCAGUAAAAUUGAGUAGAACUUUGAAUCCCUAAUAUGGAGUUUACUUUGGAAGGCAAGCAUUGCGCUUUGCAUGGGGAGCAGAUUCAUUCUCAGGACCAUGAACUUAAUGUUUGAACUGUGAAACAGGUGGGAGGGUAUGAUGAAGGAAAUGUGGGACUAUACAGGAAGCCAACAACAUUUCGGUUGAAUGUAACUCGUAGGGUGGCAAUUCGUGUUGGCAGAUUAUAUUCGUGUCGACAUGAAGACAGAAUGAUAAAUGAAUCGUGUAAAAAAACCUAAACACUAACACAACCCUUUUAUUAACUACACAAUAUACUAUUAAUUUAAAUCGUAUUAAAUGACAACACAACAUGAUCUAACACACACAAUUUCACAUGAAUAAACCCAUUUAACACAAUUUAAUGUGAUCCAAUAUUAACUAUUUGACAUGUUUUAAUAUGAUUCAAUAUAUUUAAUAUUUAUAAAAUAAUAUAUCACAUGAGAAUUGCAUAUUAAGUUUAAACAUGCAAAAAGUUGGUAAUAUAUAAAAAUAUAAAUCUUAAUUAUUUAACAUUAAAGAAAUAAUUGAUAUUUCAUAUUUAAUUAAUUAAUUAAUAUUUUAACAAACUGAAAUUUAUAAAACAAUGUUCAACUUAUUAUAUAAAUAAAUAAAUAAAUAUUAAUAAAUAAAAAGGAAACGAAUUACAAAAAAUAAUAAUAUAAUACAAUAUGUAACUAGAUUCAUAUUUGAUAAUAUGUCCUUUUUUAAUAAUGUAAUUAUGGGUCACAAUUGAACCAAUGGUUAGGUUCAAUUAGGAAAAUGCACAAGACACCAAAUUAUAAUUGGAAAAUUAUUGAGGUCUAACAUUAUGUUUUUUUUAGCUGAGUUGAGCAAGAAAAUGGAUAGUCUUUCUGGAUUUUAUAAAGAAAAUAAUGAAUAAUGCAGGGGAAUGACUCACUAAUUUUAUUGGAGCAUGGAUAUCUGUGAUGGUAAGAGUUAAAUCUUCAUUCCAUUGAGGAUUACAGUUUCUUUUCACCACUCUAGUCUUCAGUUUCUGCAUCAAUUCACAGUACAUCAGAAAAUAAAAUACGAAGAAAAACAGCUAAUUAGCAAAACAACAGGCUGCAGAGCCAAUACUUAAUCUAUCAUAUUACAAUUUUUAAUUAUGAAUCAGCUUCAUGCAUUCACAUUAAAGAUGAAACAGAGACCCAUUUCCCUCUUUUUCAAAUGAGUGCAGCUCCUGUAAAUUUGUUUUUUCGUAGAAGAACAAGAUCAUAUAAGGAAAAUUAAGAUAUACAACUAACUAAUAAACUGCAACCUUUUCAAAUUCGAACCAACAAACAUUAAAUCAGCAAAAAUCAAGAAUAUGUAGAUUUUCAGACUCGGACAUUGUAGGAUUUUAAAAUUUAAAAACAUAAUAGAGAUUGUUUUCACUUCUCAGUCAAUCGCCAAAAACAAUUUCUCCCAAUCGGUAAUUAAAUAAAUGACUACAGAAAAUAGGUAAAUGAUGGCAAAUUUCUUCUGAAAAGAAAGGCCACGCAGAGGGAAACAUGAUUCAAAGGCUCAAAACAUUUGUAUUAUCUUAAAUCAGCCAAAGGAAAUGAAGAUGAAAUGAUUGAAUGGCAUAUAACGCUGGUAAAAAUCUGGCAAAAUAUAAACGUAGAAGAAAAGAAAAGAAAAGUAGGAGGAUGCCUGGCGUCCCGAGGUGAUGAUGACAUAAGGAUCGCUGCUUCCAAUAUCACGAACUGCAAGAUUUAUGCCUCUUCGCACCCCAAUUAUGAGAAGACCAAGAACGUUCUCCAUUCUCAAAAACGCAGGUCCCACCCUCCACAGAAGUCUCCAACACCAAUAUUAUUGUAUUUAUACAUCGGCAAAAAAGAAAAGAAAAAACAAAAUGAAAAAUCAUUGGCCAAUAAUAGCAUACAUUUGUGGACCCCAGCAGCCCUUUGGAAAGUUUAGUUUAUUGCAACGUGCAUGAGAACGCUGCCCGCAGCUGAGCUCGCUCUAUUCCCCUUUCAAAAUUUCAACGUUAUCAAGAAUCUAAUUUGAGAAUUGGGCACUCUUAAAUUGUGGGAGAUUAAAUUUGGACAACAGACAUGAUUUAUUUUAUAAAAAAAAAAAUAAACAAAAUAAUAUAUAAUUUCAUUUCAACCUCUUUUAAAAAUAAAUUUUUUAAAUAAAACAAUUAUUAAAAAAUAAUUGUAUAUGAAUUUGAAUUAGUUGACCAAUAUAUUUCGAUUGACGACAGAAAAAUUCUAUACGGAAUACUAUUAGAGCCCAUUUUGUGGUGGGUGCGAGGCUGCUAUUCUUCAUUCAUCCCCAGCCAAGCCUUUAUUGCACCAAGCUCAUGUGCUUCUGGGCUAGGCUUAUUUAUUGGACUAAGCUGCUUAAAUACUAAUCUUAUAUAUAUAUAUAAGAUCUUCAUUUUGUUUGACUUGUUAAAAUUGUGUUUUUUAUGUGUUUUCUUUUAUUAGUUCACAGAUUUGGUGGUGUGUUCUAUCUCAUGUAGGAGAUUUCUAUCUUCUCCAUUUGGUAGUAUGUGGAGCUUGUUUUAUAACAUAUAUCUAUUUUUCUUAAUAAUUAUAUUCAAUUGAAAUUUGAAUAUGAGUGGUGAAAGCUCUAGGAGCAGAGUAAUAGGCCUCAAAAGAAACUAUUUACAUCAAUGGGAGUAUGGGCAGGAAUCUUGGAGGAUAAAUGAGCAUAGAAAUUAAGAAAAUUUUAAACAUUUUAUCAAUAAUAAGUCAUCAAUAUUUUUUUGAUAAAUGAAACCUGCCCUUAUUUAUAUAUAAAUACAUUUUGAGAGUAGGCUUCCCUUGGAAAUAAAUGUUAGAUGAGGAUAAGAAUGAAGAAUUUAUUAUAGGGUUUAGAGGGAAAAGAUGGGAAGGAAUGGAUCACUUUGGCUAUAAGAUAUUGGCGCAACCAGAUGUCCUUUUAAUGACCGUACGUAUCGUCCCUCCAUCGGACCCUAACUUUGCUUAUCUGUCGCCAACCCUUCUCUCUCUUUUUUUUACUUUUUUUAUUUUUUUUUUCCUCAAAAAAAACAAAAAAAGUGGUUGGUGACAGAUUGUUGAAUCAAUUUUUUUAAUUCAUUCAAAUCCACCAAUUAUAUUCAAUAAUUUCUUGUAAUUCAGUGUAUAGAUAUUAUAUUUAUACCUUUAGAUCAUGAUGAUCCUAAGAGACAAAUUAGUUAAGUUCAACCAUCUCGUACCUAUGUGAAAAGAAUGUAAUUGCAAAACUAAAAUGUAAUUAAUUACAGAAUUCGUGUCUGAAAUAUGAAAGAAGGAAAUCAAUUAGAAAGCUGCACAUGCAUUUGGUUGCCACGCGGACGCAGAAAAUGAUUUUGCCAAAUAUAUUUAAAAUAAAAAUAAAUAAAUGUGAUCAAUAGGGUAUGGUGAUGAAAUUAAUUAGGUGCAUCAGAAAGUAGAGGAAUUGCAUGUGGAGCUUUAAUAUCCUAUACUGGUGGGUACAGAGAAUGCAUGUGGGAUACCUCAUAAGCAAAGCAUCAUCAGCCACAAAUAAGAGCAGACAGACACCUGGUCCUCACCAAUACAAUCAUCACAUCACAUAACCCAUCCCUUCCAAAAUUUUUAAAGCCAAAUAUUUAAUUUGAGCUGAUAUUUACAUGAAAAAUCGAUUGACAUUUUUUUUGGGUUAAAUUUUAAUAGUUGAUUUUUAUAAAAGUGUGUUUAUUUAUCAUUUAAAUUUUAUAAAAUAUAAUUAUCUAAUUUUAGGUAAUUAGAUAACAUUAGAAAUAAAAAUUUAAUUAAAUAAACAAAAAUGUAACUAUUUUAUUUCAUAAAUUAUUUAGAUUAUAAUAGUUAGUAUAGAAUAUAUAUAAUGCUACAAAAAAAAUGUUUAUUUUUAAUACACAAGCCUUCUCAAAUACAUAUAUAAACUAAAAGAAUCUUGUCUUGCACUCCAAGGGUGAGUGCUUUCUCUGUAUACAUAUUUAUAUGUAUAAGAAAUUAAAAUUCUUAUUCUUUUAAUUUGUUUUAUUUUAUUUUAUUAUUUUGAUUGCAGUGGAGAAUCUGCAGAGUGCAUAUUAUUGAAAUGAGAAAUUAUUAUGUAUAUUUAAAGUAUUCUUUUAUUAUAUUGAGGUGAGACGUUAAAUUAAUCGUAUCGUAAUAAAUUAUUAUGAAUAAAAAAUUAUUAAAUUUUAUUUUUUACAUUUUCAUUAAAAAAAUUAGUAAUUAUAUGAGUUUAGUGGUUUUUUUUUUCUGUUUUUUUAGUAUAAUUGAUGCGGUGAGUAUCACCAAUUUUUUGAAAUUGUAAUCCUGUGGCCUUUAAUCAAAUCUAUUUUCCAAGCAGAAUAAACUUCAAUUAUGCCGACUCAAUUUUUCACAAUUUUCUAAUAUCUCCACUAACCCAUAAUUUUUAUUAGAGAAAAUAGAAAUAUGGGGUUAAAUAAGCUCUAGUCACUUCUAUAUAAGGACAACGAGACUGAGCUUUAGUCAGCACUAGAGUCUGUGAAAUCUAAUUCCAAUCAUUAUCAGAAACCCUUUCCUUUUCUGGAAAACAUAAUGGCCCUCUUGAAGAAAUUGGAAGCAAGUUUUGAGGUGAAUGUUCCUGCAAACCAGUUUCAUAAUGUCUACAGUUGCAGACCACACCAUGUAUCCAUUAUGAGCCCUGAAAGAAUUCAAGGUGUUGAACUCCAUGAAGGCGAAUGGGGGAAAGAAGGCUCUGUUAUCUGCUGGAAUUAUACUCAUGGUAAGUCUAUUUGCCCAUUAUUUUCUUUCUUUCUCAUUGAAAUUUCUUAUAGGUUUCUUUUUACUUAUUUAUUAAUAAUGCAACAAAAAAAACAGAUGGAUCUCUCAAGAUAGCCAAGGAGAUAAUUGAAGUCAUAGAUGAUGUGAACUUAUCAACCACCUUCAAAGUGAUAGGAGGAGAUCUUCUGAAGGAUUACAAGAGCUUCAAAUUCAUAGUUCAAGCUACACAGAAGGGGGAUGGAAGCUUGGUGCACUGG